GUUUAUAUAGUUUAAACAAAAUUCUAAAUUGUGAAUUUAGAAAUGAAAACUAAAAAUUUUCUAUAAACC
rnacentral:tRNA from 1 species